rnacentral:rRNA from 1 species
CCUACGGGGGGCAGCAGUGGGGGAUAUUGCACAAUGGGGGGAACCCUGAUGCAGCGACGCCGCGUGGGUGAAGGAGCGUUUCGGCGCGUAAAGCCCUAUCGGCAGGGAAGAAGGAGGACGGUACCUGACUAAGAAGCCCCGGCUAACUACGUGCCAGCAGCCGCGGUAAUACGUAGGGGGCAAGCGUUAUCCGGAUUUACUGGGUGUAAAGGGAGCGUAGACGGUAGAGCAAGUCUGAAGUGAAAGCCCGCGGCUCAACUGCGGGACUGCUUUGGAAACUGUUCAACUGGAGUGCUGGAGAGGGA